AUCUAGACCAUCGGCCACAAAUUAGUGGAACCCACAGCUGCCCCUGUCAAACACGAUAUUCUUCAGAUGAGUUUACUAUUUAACUGAUUGGAUUCCAUUCUUAUUUCUUUUUUUUUUGUUUUUUUGAGAAAGGGCUUUUAUAUAUAUAUAUAUAAUAUAUUGGAGCCUGUUAAGGCACAAAGUGAAGAACUUUUAAGCCCAAUACAAAUCGGGACUGGCCCAAUAGUUUUAGAACUUUAGUUAAACCAUGACAAAAGAAGUGAGACGGUUUACGGAGUGAAGAAACGGCGAUCAGAGCUUAAUCCUCUAGCCAUGUCUGCAUCAUCCACUACAAGAAAACAACAAGGAUACUGAGGGAAAAAAU
rnacentral:lncRNA from 1 species